AUGUAAUGUAAUGCCUAAAUUUUCAAUGCCCCAAAUCCCAUUAGAACUCCAUAAUUAAGCGCACUUGGGCUAGAGUAGUAUUGAGAUGGGUGAGCUACCUGGAAGUCCUAUUGUUUUACAUG
rnacentral:rRNA from 1 species